GAGUCUUUGUCCUUUCUUGGCUUAUCUUCCUUGCAUUUUCAGAACCUUUCUUCUUGUAGUUUACUUCUAUAAGCUUUGGCAUAUAUAAGUUUCUCCUCGUUUGAUGUAGAACCAUGCUUUGUCCAGGAAGUCGUUGAGGCUUCUUGGCUCUAACAAGAAAAUAUUCUCAACAAAUUUUCUUCCUUCCAGGAGUCACGAUUCUAAGAGCACCUAAAGUCGCCCUAUACUAAGGUUAUUUCGUUGAGGCAAUGAAGUUCCAUUUUAACUGGCGAUCCAACUAUCUUCAAGAACUUAUGGAGAUCUUCUUGAGGCCUUUAAACCAGAUGUCGUCAACAAAGUAUGAUAUUGAAAAGUUCACUGGAGUGAACGAUUUCGGUCUGUGGCACUUGAAGAUGAAAAUCUUACUGGUUCAGCAAGGUUGCUUAGAAGCGUUGAAGGGAGCCGAAGGCAUGGACACUGCUUUAACCGACAUAGAAAAAAGAAAGCUAGUUUGUUCCCUUGAUGUUAUAGAAUUUGUUCCAAUAUGGAGACUUGUGAGAUAUUGGAUCAAACUCUAGUAUGGUCGAAUGAUAGCUUCUUGGUUCGAGAAUUGACAGGAUCUUAGCAUGUCGUCGAAGUUUGUUCACAUGUUGUAGUUGGAGUAUGCUAGGAUUGUUAGCACGUCGAAUUGAGUCUGUUUGUUAUGCUCAAUUAUUUAAGUUAGAUUAUUCUCUAAGUUAGCUUGUGUAAUGAGUCUGUGUGUAAAAGUCUAAUAGUUUAGUAUGUUAAUUUUCUUAUAAAUAACAUACUAGUCUUCUCAUUCAAUAUUCAUUACUCUCUUUUUUCUUCCCUUUCA